UACGUAGGGUGCGAGCGUUGUCCGGAAUUAUUGGGCGUAAAGAGCUCGUAGGCGGCUUGUUGCGUCGACUGUGAAAACCCGCGGCUUAACUGCGGGCUUGCAGUUGAUACGGGCAGGCUAGAGUUCGGUAGGGGAGACUGGAAUUCCUGGUGUAGCGGUGAAAUGCGCAGAUAUCAGGAGGAACACCGGUGGCGAAGGCGGUUCUCUGGGCCUUACCUGACACUGAGGAGCGAAAGCGUGGGGAGCGAACAGG
rnacentral:rRNA from 1 species